GAUGACCGCUGGCGGCGUGCCUAAUACAUGCAAGUCGAGCGAAGCGGGGACGGGUGAGUAACACGUGGAUAACCUUCUAUCAGACUGGGAUUACUUCGGGAAAACGGAGCUAAACCGGAUAAUUAUAGAUGGAUCCGUGCUGCAUUAGCUAGUUGGUAAGGUAACGGCUUACCAAGGCAACGAUGCAUAGCUGACCCUGGAGGAUGAUCGGCCAGACUGGAGUUGAGACUCGGUCCAUACUCCUACGGAAGGCAGCAUUACGGAGUCUUCCGCGAUGGGCGACAGACUGCGGGAGCAACGCACUGUGGGUGAUGAAGGUCGUCGGAUCGUAAAACUCUGUUAUUAGGGAAGCGGUUCCUAAUCAGAAAGCCACGGAUAGCUACGGGCCAGCAGACGCGGUAAUAC
rnacentral:rRNA from 1 species